CUCCAAGUGGCUCCAUCUGGAACCCAGGUCUGAGGGGUCCACUACAAGCCUUGUUGUGAAGUCACCUCACUGAUGCCAAGUUGUAAGAAGAGUGGAAGCAGAGAAUGAAGGAAGAAAAUGCUUGAGGUUUGGCUGAAUGCUUCCUCCCAGUGGAAGGAAAAUUAAAGAAAGUUGCUCCAGUUUAGGCCCAGUGGAUGGCUGAUAACCCACAGAAAGAGAGCAUCCUUCAUCCUGAUAAAUGGGCUGUGAGCUGAGCACGUGACUGAGCUCCUUAAGACCUGGGUCUUCAGCUUCCUGCCCUCACCUUAACUGGAAACUGGGUAAAAGCCACAUCAAGAGGAGUUCUGAAAAUGGCAUGUGGAUGAAAAGGGAGCCUCUUGGAGACUCUGGUGGCUGAAGAUACGCGUCAGUCAAGGAAUUGGAUUUCCCUAUACCAAAAAGCCAUUGCUGGCUGAGCAGAACAAGAUGUGGACUCACCAAACUCAACAACCUGCUUUUCUCACAAAGUAUUAAUUGCGUAAGUAAUAAUUUCCUUAUUUGUCAAAAAACCUCAACAGAAUUUCAAAUUUUGAUCUAGUUGCCAACUUAGACUCUGCUCCACUAAAGUAUAAAUAAUUGCUCAGAAGGAAUGUGUCUCUGGACUAUUUCUAGCACUCCUCUUUCAUACUGUAGGUAUUAAAUUUGGAAAUCUUACACUUCUAUGUUAGAAUAUCUGUUGAUUUUUAUGUACUAGAGAAGAGUUUCUUCUAUAUCCUAUUGCUUUUCCUAGUUGACUAUGCUCCAUAUUUACUCAUCCAACAAAUAUUUAUUGAAUGCUCACUAUGAACCAGCUAUAUAGUAGGUAUAUAUUCCGAGUGGAAGUAAAAGGAAGGUGACUAUUUUCAAAAGGUUUAUAGGCAAAUAACUAAAAAUCUAUCGAAUAUAUGUAUUUUUUUUUACUUUACAUUCAUGAGUCCAAAUGAUCUCAACUCUCUUUCCUUAGAGUUGAGACCACAUAUCUAGAAUGUGUUGGUAAAAUUUCCACUAUCUCUCACAUGAUAUCAUGUAUCUACUUGACAAAUUUGUCAACUGAUGCUAAAAGACUGUUAUAGUCAGUAGUGGAGACUAUGACUUCAAGGGCAAUGUGAUUACCAGUAAUGUAGCUUCUCUUAUUUGAAGAAAGUUACAGGUAUAAACUCAGCCUGAAUAAAUGAUACCAUUUGUGGAAUUUUUUUCCCCAGCUAUCAAGCUUUAAGAAAGUUUGAGGAGUUAAAUUUUUUUUUCUUUAAAAUGAAAUGCAAGAAAGUCAAGAUGAAAGAGAAAAACGAAAGACGGAGUAGUCAGAAAAGAGAAGUUAAAAUGAAAAUUGCCUCUCUCUGGAAUUAUAACUAUGUUGGUAAAAGCUUUUACCUUGUCUGCUACAAGUGAGAAUAGUUUCUAAAAUAUAAAAGUUUUACUUACCAGAAAGACUAGCAUCCAACCAAAAUUGAAAACGAUCAAGGUUUAGUUAGGUAUUGUAUCAUUAACAUGUCAUUCCUCUAUUGCUUCUUCCAGGCUACUUCCUUUUACUUAAUGAAUCUCAAAAUUUUAUUUUGGCUUUGACUGUGAAGGCGAGAAAGAAAUGCCAGGGUUCCACCCCUGCCUUCCUGAAUCAGACCAUCUGGCGAACAGAGCUCAUUUAUCUACACGUUUUUUUUUUUUUUUAAUGUAUAAAAUAAACAUAACAAAAUUGACCAUCUUAA